rnacentral:rRNA from 1 species
GACGAACCGAGCGAACGUUAUUCGGAAUCACUGGGCUUAAAGGGCGCGUAGGCGGGCCCGCAAGUCAGGGGUGAAAGCCCCCAGCUCAACUGGGGAAGUGCCCCCUGAUACUUCGGGCCUCGAGGGAGGUAGGGGCGUGCGGAACUUCCGGUGGAGCGGUGAAAUGCGUAGAUAUCGGAAGGAACACCGGUGGCGAAAGCGGCGCGCUGGACCUCUUCUGACGCUGAGGCGCGAAAGCCAGGGGAGCAAACGGGG